UACGUAUGGGGCGAGCGUUGUUCGGAAUUAUUGGGUGUAAAGGGCGUCUAGGCGGGAGAUUAAGUUAGAUGUGAAAGGCGUGGGCUUAACCCACGAAUUGCAUCUAAAACUGGUUUUCUUGAGUUCGGGAGAGGAGAGCGGAAUUCUUGGUGUAGCGGUGAAAUGCGUAGAUAUCAAGAAGAACACCAGUGGCGAAGGCGGCUCUCUGGCCUAGAACUGACGCUGAAGCGCGAAAGCGUGGGUAGCGAACGGGAUUAGAUACCCGGGUAGUCCCUGAG
rnacentral:rRNA from 1 species